rnacentral:misc_RNA from 1 species
CUCUUUCUCUCUCUCUCUCUCUUGGUGCCUUCCUCAGCUGGAAUUUAUAUCAGUUCUCUUUGUGAUCUGAAAUCAGAUUACCUUGUCAAGGAUCGAAGGUAGCUUCACUCGAAAUUAAGAUUUCUGCAAUAUUUUCUUUUACUUAUUUGCCUUUUGAUCUCAUCUUUGAUUUCGAUUUGGUAGUUUCAAGCUGGUUCUGGAUUUUCAUAAUUUUGUGUGGGCCUAUUGGUUGGCAUGGAUUUGCUUUCUUUUCUUUCGUAAAUUUUAAGUGUUCUUCCUUUUUCUUUCCAUUCGUAACUCAGAUUCAGAUUCGCUACUAUAAGUUAGGUAUUUGAUACAUUCAUUAAUUUUAUUUAUUUAUUUUGAGUAAAAUUUUUGAUAGUUUGUCUCUAGGGAAGUGGAAGUUAUAGCGGCUACUGUUUGCAUUUAAAUUUGAUAAUCAAUGGAAGGAAAGCUUGUCGGGUCUUCUUUUGUUUUGAAUGUGAUCAAUGGAUCAUAAGAAGGCAUGACUUCAUGUGAGAUGCUGAAGUACUUGAUAUUUUGAAGCUUUUUUUCCCCUGUGCAGUUACAUCUUCAUCAGAAAUGGCUAACAGAGUUCAAAUCCCAACUAGCAAUUCUGCACUUAUUGCAAUGAUUGCUGAUGAGGACUCAGUAGUUGGAUUUUUGCUUGCUGGAGUUGGCAACGUUGACUUGAGACGGAAGUCAAAUUACCUCCUUGUAGACUCAAAAACAACUGUGAAACAAAUUGAAGAUGCAUUUAAAGAUUUCACAACAAGGGAGGAUAUUGCUAUAGUGCUGAUUAGUCAAUAUGAUUUGUGUAGGGUAUUUCCUUGCUGGUUUAAUGCCUUCUUUCCACGGACUGCUGAUUCCCCUUGGUUGCAAAUAUGGUAAGGUUUUUGGUAGAUAGUUAUAACAAGCCAGUUCCAGCAAUUCUGGAAAUACCUUCAAAGGACCAUCCUUAUGAUCCUGCACAGGAUUCAGUUCUUUCACGAGUGAAGCACCUCUUCUCAGCUGAGUCAGUGGCAUCCGGGAGACGUUAAGCACAUAUUGUGAGUUGAUACUUACGUGUAUGUCAUGUUUUAUUCACCUCUCUCUCAAGCUUGUAUGCGGAAUAGAUCUUAUUAUGCCUUUAGAAUUGCUUCUCUUUUGUCCAUUUGUUAUUGAGAUAUCUUUAUGAGCAUCUGUUGGUCGAUAAUUUUAAUAAAUGAUUCUACCAACUGAACUGCAAUAUCAGUAACAGUUUUUAUUUUAGUUUAUUUUAAUGAUAUUAUUGGCUCUUAUUGCAACUUAAA